rnacentral:rRNA from 1 species
UACGUAGGUGGCAAGCGUUGUCCGGAUUUAUUGGGUUUAAAGGGUGCGUAGGCGGACCUGUAAGUCAGUGCUGAAAUAUCCCGGCUUAACCGGGAGGGUGGCAUUGAUACUGCGGGGCUAGAGUACAGAUGAGGUAGGCGGAAUUGACGGUGUAGCGGUGAAAUGCGUAGAUAUCGUCAAGAACACCUAUAGCGAAGGCAGCUGACUAGGCUGUAACUGACGCUGAGGCACGAAAGUGUGGGGAGCAAACAGG